rnacentral:lncRNA from 1 species
UGAGCCUUGACUCAUUUAACCCCCACAGCACCCAGUAGAUGGUGGCACUAUUAGCAUACUUGUUUUAGAGGUGAGGACACACACACAAAGAGAUAAGGAAUUGCCUAAGAGCAAAAAGCUGGUAAGUGGUGAGCCCAGGUGUGAGCCUUGCUUCAGGAUCAAGUGCGCACCCCUGUGCUCUGGACUCCUUCCAGGUGUUGUUUCUCUUGCUGGCAUUUUAACUUCAUUACACCUAUCUGUAUGUUGGUCGUGGGAAGGAGGAAGCUCACCGAACACUGUGGCUUACCCAAGAUUUGUCCCUCGACUUUCCCUCUUCACCAAACCCCAGAGCCACUGGCGGAAUGUUCAGUUCCUUGGAAUCCCACAUGCCCGGGUUAGCUCCUUUUGCAAGCAGCCUGAUGGAUAGAAGUGAAGGGAUGGUGCUCCUUAUGAAAGGAGACGGGGGAGCUUAGUGAGCAGCGGCAGGGCCCUGCAGCCCGUCACACGCUAGCAUCCACCGGGUUGAGUGGCUGCGCACGACCGCGGCGGGCGGGCGGGCGCGCUGCCGGAACGCUCUAGGCCUCCUGCGGAACCCAGGCCUGCGUGAAGGUAAAUGCAAAUCAGCUCCGCCCAGCGCUUCCCGCAGAAGGAGGGUUUUCUGUGUGCGCGUCUGGUUUCCUCCGCCUUCAGCCAGAAUGCUGGCUUUAUUUUUGCGGUUUAUGAGCUUGAGACAGGGAAUUCAUUUCCUUGGUAUAAUAUGACCCUCUGGAGAAAGUCUUGUCCAGAUAUAUUUUGCUCCCAAACGCCGCCCUAGAAGAAGGACUACACUGAAAUGAAACGGAGAUGAUUAAAGUCUGAUUUAUAGGCUGUACAAGCCCUGAAAGCAAGAACGGGGUUCACGGCAUCUUGAUACCCCCAUGUGGGGACGUUUUGGCGAUUUUAUUUACAAGAAAGGGAUUUUACACCGGAGAGGCUUUUAAAUAUGCUAACAGACUGGACCAGCUUUCUCAUCCCCACUGGCUGAUUAAUGAUUCCUCCAUGCCAACCCGGUUCUCAGAGACACCAAGGCCAGGUAAAAACCACCCCUUCAUCCGAAGUGGCCUCCAGUGCUUAGAAUUCCAAGCAUUUGGUCCUCUGGAGAUGAGAAACCAUGGGAAGGCAGGGGCUCACUCACCCCUGUAUCCAAAAAGUUGAGGAUGGUGCCAAGGACAGAGACGGUACCAGGGACUCCAAAAAUACUGAAUGAAAGGACAGUAGAGGUGCUUUCCUGUGGGAUCCCCAAUCUCUCCCCGCCUUCAGGUGAGUCCUGCUGAUGCUCAGGCUGCCCUUGGAACAGGGACCUUGGCCAUAGUUUCCUUAUCUGUAAUAAUGGGAUGAGAAUUCCUCCUGCACAGGGUUGUUAGGGACCUCGUGAGGCAGCUUCUAUGGCUGCCUUUGGUGCUUAGUUUUCUCACUUUCUUCUUGAACAUGGGAGUGGGGAGACGGACUCCUAAGGGUAUGACACUUGAAGAUUUCAGGAGGGGGCCUGCAGGUUUAUGUCCUCACUUGUUUUACACCUCACAGAGGUCAGCGAAGCAGGGUAUCACCAAAGCCCCACCUGAUGUCUCUGGAAAUCGAGUACUCCGUGUCUUCACCAGGCCCAUGCCAGCUGUGAGGGGCAGAACCAGGUUUUCUGACACCAAACCCCAGGUUUCUUCCUGUGCUGGCAUGGGUCCUUUUUCUGACUUGGCCAGCAGCCUCUCAUAGAUGGGGGUCUGAUUAAAUAGUUCUGG